AUUGAACGCUGGCGGCAGGCCUAACACAUGCAAGUCGAACGAGUGGCGGACGGGUGAGUAAUGUCUGGUAAACUUCCUUAUGUAGGGGUAUAACUACUGGAAACGGUAGCUAAUACCGCAUACCAUCAGAUGUGCCCAGAUGGGAUGACCUUUUUGGUGGGGGAACGGCUCACCAAGGCGACGAUCCCUAGCUGGUCUGAGAGGAUGACCAGCCACACUGGAACGGAGACACGGUCUAGAAUCCUACGGGAGGCAGCAGGGGGGAAUAUUGCACAAUGGGCGCAAGCCUGAGGCAGCCAUGCCGCGUGUAGGAAGAAGGCCUUCGGGUUGUAAAGUACUUUCAGCGGGGAGGCGUUACCCGCAGAAGAAGCCCCGGCUAACUCCGUGCCAGCAGCCGCGGUAAUUC
rnacentral:rRNA from 1 species